rnacentral:rRNA from 1 species
GCAUAUCAAUAAGCGGAGGAAAAGAAACCAACAGGGAUUGCCCUAGUAACGGCGAGUGAAGCGGCAACAGCUCAAAUUUGAAAUCUGGCUCUUUUAGAGUCCGAGUUGUAAUUUGCAGAGGGCGCUUUGGCUUUGGCAGCGGUCCAAGUUCCUUGGAACAGGACGUCACAGAGGGUGAGAAUCCCGUACGUGGUCGCUGGCUAUUGCCGUGUAAAGCCCCUUCGACGAGUCGAGUUGUUUGGGAAUGCAGCUCUAAAUGGGAGGUACAUUUCUUCUAAAGCUAAAUAUUGGCCAGAGACCGAUAGCGCACAAGUAGAGUGAUCGAAAGAUGAAAAGCACUUUGGAAAGAGAGUCAAACAGCACGUGAAAUUGUUGAAAGGGAAGCGCUUGCAGCCAGACUUGCUUACAGUUGCUCAUCCGGGUUUUUACCCGGUGCACUCUUCUGUAGGCAGGCCAGCAUCAGUUUGGGCGGUAGGAUAAAGGUCUCUGUCACGUACCUCCUUUCGGGGAGGCCUUAUAGGGGAGACGACAUACUACCAGCCUGGACUGAGGUCCGCGCAUCUGCUAGGAUGCUGGCGUAAUGGCUGUAAGCGGCCCGUCUUGAAACACGGACCAAGGAGUCUAACAUCUAUGCGAGUGUUUGGGUGUCAAGCCCGAGCGCGUAAUGAAAGUGAACGGAGGUGGGAACCCGCAAGGGUGCACCAUCGACCGAUCCUGAUGUCUUCGGAAGGAUUUGAGUAAGAGCAUGGCUGUUGGGACCCGAAAGAUGGUGAACUAUGCUUGAAUAGGGUGAAGCCAGAGGAAACUCUGGUGGAGGCUCGCAGCGGUUCUGACGUGCAAAUCGAUCGUCAAAUUUGGGCAUAGGGGGCGAAAGACUAAUCGAACUAUCCUWGCWAGCUGGGUCCUGCCGAA